rnacentral:lncRNA from 1 species
CCUUGUUCAGCAAUUGUGCCUGUGGAGGGUCCCCCAACACUCACCGUGCACCUCCUAGGAGCGGAGGCUACAAAAGGGAGCCAGAGACCAAGCUCUGCUCAGACAACAGUGAGCUGAUGGCCUUCCACUCUAAGUUCAACAGGGACCCAGGGACCAACUCUGCUCAGACAAUAGUGAGCAGAUGGCCUUCCACUCUAAGUUCAACAGGGACCCAGGGACAAAGUUCUGCUGAGACAACAGUGAACUGAUGGCCUUCCACUCUAAGUUCCAACUGCAUGGAAUGUGUAUUCCAUGAAUGCUUGUUAAAUGAAUGAUUCAUAUAAGGUCAUCUGUGCUGACCUUUGCUGGUCUGCUGAAUGUGAGCUUCAGAGCAUAGGCCUCAUUCCUGGAGCAGCCAGCUCUUCCCAGAGCGACGGCCGCUGCAGGGCAAAGCCCAGAGCUUGUCCUGCAGCAACACACUCAGGACCCUGCGCUGGGCACGCUGGGGGCCUCUCCAGCAGAAGAUCCCCAGCCCGGACCGUGCAAUACCAGUGAACCCCAGGGGAGUCCCAAGUGCUCAAAAUCAUGUAAAUGUCCAUUGUGAUUUAACAUAUCAAUUUUAGAAGAAAGGGCAUAUUGCCACCUCUCUCCUCAAACUAGGGACUAUAAAUCGAUCCAUCACCCUAACUGAGACUCUGCCUUAAAUUCUGCUAAAACUACCAUCCAAACACUCAAAUUUACAUUAGCGUUAAGGGAAAAAAAAAACUAAACCAAACACCUGUAAGAAACGGUCAAGUAACCUGUGAUACAUCAACCCAAAGAUUAAACAUGAAAACAAUGAAGUAGCAAGAUAUUAAAAGAAUAUAAACUCUAUGUACAUCAUGGUCCAAGGUUCUAAAAUUACACAGAAACAAAGACUGGAAUGGAAGGGGGAUACGUUUACAGACACAUUUUUUAUUUUUUAAUUUUUAAUAUUGCUUCUCUAAUGUAUGAUUUGACUAACCAGAUAAUUCAGCAAAAAAUAAAAAAAUAAAUUGUGCCUAUAGAUAAAUAUGUAAAGAAUCCUUUUCUUUGAUGCCAAUGGAAUUAGUUUGGGUCUGACCCACAGUCUUCAAUCUUUUAAUUAAGACACAAAAAUCAUCUUUCAAGCUGUUAGGAAAAAAAGAAGAAAAAGAUUGAAAACCAGGAGCCCAGAAAAAAAGGACUCGCUAUGUAUCACAGCGUCUCUCCACGCCUCUCCACCAAGGACAGUGCUCCUCUUCCCCAUUUUCAUACCUACCGCACAAAACACUUAGUAAAGAACUAUCUCAAUUCAUGAGUCACACAGCACAAAGGGCCAGUGUCUCUGCCAAACAUACCCUGCAGCCCCAAAACGAAGAGGUAAUUGGUUCCUUCCUUCCCCAGUGAAGGAAGAAUGAGAGGCUGCUGGUUGUCAUUUUAAAUCUCACACCUCAAUGUCUUAGCACUUUCCUGCUUUGUUGGUUUCCAGGGCUUAUUAAAAUUAACCACCCCCCCCCCCCCGCGGAUAUUGAAGAAAGAAAGCAGGAAGGUUGUGCAGGCUUCCAAGAGGCAGAGCCCUGCUUCCGCAGCCACCUCUGUCUUUCUACCCACAGCAGCCGGGUUUACCAAUUAGUCUCCCUUAAAGAGCAGUUUAUGCUCAUCGCGAACAAAUGGAUGCAAUUGCUUCUUUUGAGAUGCAGCAAGUUUUGGGCCCUCAGCAAAAA